ensembl:lncRNA
ACGGCUCCAACGGAACGGACGGAUCCACAAUGCAUUGCGCGUCCGUCCCCAUUGAAAGUCAAUGGGGAUCAGUCGACGGACGCAUGUAGUGGGCACGGGGUAUUAGGGUCUAAUGCCGCGUUUCCACUGCAGGGUGCGGUAUGGUUCGGUUCGCCUCAGUCCGGUAGGGAGGGGGCGGUAUAGCCCAGCUCAGAGUGGUAGAUAUAACAGAGUGGCGACACUUCCAUUGGACUCCAUUGUAGCGCCUACUUCCGGGGUAUGGAGCCUCGAAUAGUUCCAAACAACCAUUUUACGGCGUAGGAGAUCAUUCAUUUCCAUUGCUGGCCGUCGAGUAACUUCUAAGACGACCGAUUGCCUGCUAGUUUGUUAGCUCGACUUCACCACCUGUGAGGGUAUCUCAAAGGACGACCGAUUGCCUGCUGGUGUUAACUCGACUUCGCCAUGUGAAGGGUGAUGUUCAGCACAUGAAGCCCUACAGAUGCCGCCGCUUCAACAAUGCUGAUUAUGAUGGGCGUUGCCUUAUUAGGUCCUCCUCAGUCGCCCCAUCAGUCCCUGGCAGUCUGGUUCCUGGAGCAGCUGGCCCUUGCAAAGUUAUUCCUUCACUGUUGACCCCUGACUGACUGGCCCUCGGCACACACAUCCCUGGAUCACCUGCCCCUGGAUCACCUGCCCCUGGCAAAGUGGCCUCUUGAUUGCUCUCUCUGUCUCCUGUCAUGUCCUUUUCAUGGCUCCGAUCAUCAAUCUCUGUAACAAUUACAAGGUAAUGUUGCUGUUAUAUGUAUUUUGCCUUUGCAUUUGCAACUACUGUCAUCUCCAAUGUAAGGCAAUGUAAGAAAAUGUAUUAGAGCGAAACAUUUCUGUAAUGUGAAUUAAAUCAUCUGCCACAAUCAGAAACCAAUAGAAUGUAUAAAUGGAUCUACCGGCAAUUGUUGAUUGGGUAGAAAUGUGUUGAUUAUUGUGUGCAAAUCCUCAGAGAAUCCCUGACCUCUGGUUGUUUUUUGAACUCAAUGUACAAAUAUGAAUUAUGCAAUCUCAUUAGGAGUGUAGUCUAUCCUUGAAUUACAUGAAAUGGGGAACUUUGAAUAUUUGGCCUGUUAAGCCCUUUGAGACUGUAAUGGUGAUUAAGGCCUAUACAAAUAAAAUUGAAUUGAAUAUUGUUGGCUGCAUGGAUCACACCGAAGUUUAAUUUGGCGCAAUAUGUGUGGUCCGUUGCACUUGGUUCUGGAGGCACCCUCACAGAAGGGGGUUUCCUCUUCUUCGGCUUAGGGCGAUGAAUGAAAACUGUUGGGACUGCAUCAGGCCUCAACUUCAACAUCCCUUCUCUUUUUGUGGCAGUGAAUUGUUCAUCUUCAAAGUGUACCUGUAGGUAGGCUUGUAAGAUCAGUUUCCAUUGCACUUCAAAUAUCUUAGAAAAGUCAUAAUUC